GGGGGAGUCGCUCAAAUGGUAGGGCGCCGGUGGAGCACCGGGCGAUGCAGGUUCGAGUCCUGCCUCUUCCA
rnacentral:tRNA from 1 species